rnacentral:lncRNA from 1 species
CUCUGUUCACGGAAAGGGCCUGGGAGCUGCAACACCUCAACAGCAACAAGCACACCUGCUACCUAGAACUUGGUUUCUAAAAACCAUCCUCCUCUAAAAGGAAACAGAGCUCUUUGAAGAAACGCAGAAGGUAAGCAUGAGCAAAUUACUUUUUAGAGGUAACUUUGCUGAACUUGUGAAGAAUGGUGUGCAAGGUCCAGAGCGACUGCAGGAGAGGGAAGGUGGGAUUCCCACAGAGCAGGAGCACAGAUAAGCCAAGCAAGGCCCUGCUUGGAAGGCAGCAAUCAACAGAGAUGCACAGACCUGUGAGGGUGCCGGGACAGCCAUGCAACAAUGCAGCCCUUUUGCUUCCUGAGCUCACCAGUUCCCUCGCUCCACCUCUGAGAGGUGGUUUGGAGAAACACAGCCCUUCUCAAGAGGGCUGCAAGCUACUUAAGUCCUGAAAAUUUCCACAAGGCUGAGUCAAAUCUGCGUUUCAUCAUCUAUAAGAAAGGUACCUAUCGAGAACACCCUGCUGGCCAGUGUGUAAAUAUCUAAAGGAGGACUCAGAAAACACCGGGGAAGUCCAGCCUGCACGUGGUGGCUGGGCUUCAGUGAAGCAUGCAGCACAACAGGAGUUGUAAGUAGUAGUUACAUCAGCAGCCCUGGAAAUUCUGCUCAGAACCAAACUGAACAAAUAACAUUAUCUAAGGCUUACAAUUAUUUAACUCCCUAAAUUUUCUGUCCUCCCAGUAGCACUUUCAAAUGCCUAAAAGCAAUUAAAAGAAACAUUUUUCCAAU